rnacentral:rRNA from 1 species
UACGUAGGGUCCGAGCGUUGUCCGGAAUUACUGGGCGUAAAGCGCGUGUAGGCGGCUCGGCAAGUCGGGUGUGAAAGCCCUGGGCUUAACCUAGGAAGUGCACUCGAAACUGCCAAGCUUGAGUUCUGGAGAGGAAGGCGGAAUUCUCGGUGUAGAGGUGAAAUUCGUAGAUAUCGAGAGGAACACCGGUGGCGAAGGCGGCCUUCUGGACAGCAACUGACGCUGAGACGCGAAAGCGUGGGGAGCAAACAGG